GUUUACUUAAAAGCUAAUGAGAGCACUCCCCUUGACAAGGAUGGAAGGGGCCCCCAGGCUUGACAAAAAUAAAUAAAUAUUUUUU
rnacentral:snRNA from 1 species